rnacentral:rRNA from 1 species
GUGUCAGCAGCCGCGGUAAAACGUAGGAGGCGAGCGUUAUCCGGAUUUACUGGGCGUAAAGGGCGUGCAGGUGGUUUUGUAAGUGGUGCGUGAAAGCGCUCGGCUCAACCGGGCGAGUGCGUGCCAAACUGCGAGACUAGAAACAGGCAGAGGAAAGUGGAAUUCGGGGUGUAGUGGUGAAAUGCGUAGAGAUCCCGAGGAACUCCUGUGGCGAAGGCGACUUUCUGGGCCUGCUUUGACACUCAGACGCGAAAGCAUGGGGAGCGAACGGGAUUAGAUACCCUUGUAGUCC